GGAACAUCAAACGGAACUCCAAGUUUACUUUAGCUAUUAAGAAUUCAUCGAAAUAUCAAAAUAUAUGAAAGAAACACGCGAAAAAUGAUCAAAACAACAAAAAAAAAAGCAAACAAAUUCUACUAAGGCAUCAUGACAAAAAAUGAAAUAUUAUUAACGAGAUUGGAAGCAUUGGAUUAAGCCAAAAUAAUACAAGAAAGGGAGAAAUAAACCUUGAAUUGAUUUGAAUCUGACUUUUGUACAGUUCGACGAUGCUAUGCAACCGUGAACAAGAUCUAAACCGAAAAAUCACUGGAAAAACCAGCGCUGCCGCCAGUCAUUAUUUGACAAUCAACAUACCUUCUUCUUCAAUACACACAACAAGACAUUGAAAAGACAUAACAUAGCAGCCUUUAUCUUCCUCUUAAAGAAAAAAAAUCCUAAAGACAAUACAAGGCAAAGCUCUAUAGGGGACACUAGCCACACAACACCCUUAAACAAUUCCACCUUGAACCUUAGACGACCGUGGUAGACCUCUAACCUAGAACUCCCUAAGACUAGGAAGCUGCUAGAACGAGCGACCCCCCUGACUUACCCUUAACUCCGGUGAGCUCGCUGGAAAACACAACACCACCAGUCGUCCGCUCGCUAACUACCAGUAGCCGUACACGACCUUCAGCCGCCCAAGCAAUAGCCAUCUUCACCGGAAGAGGAGGGGACCUCUAUCAACAAAUAAUAGCUACGCCAGACAUCCCUCCACCAUUUUCACCACAUCCCUGUUGGAAAUAGGAGGCUAUAUAUAUU
rnacentral:lncRNA from 1 species